rnacentral:rRNA from 1 species
UACGAAGGGGGCUAGCGUUGCUCGGAAUCACUGGGCGUAAAGCGCACGUAGGCGGCUUGUUAAGUCAGGGGUGAAAUCCCGGGGCUCAACCCCGGAACUGCCUUUGAUACUGGGUGUCUCGAGUCCGGAAGAGGUGAGUGGAAUUCCGAGUGUAGAGGUGAAAUUCGUAGAUAUUCGGAGGAACACCAGUGGCGAAGGCGGCUCACUGGUCCGGUACUGGACGCUGAGGUGCGAAAGCGUGGGGAGCAACAGG